rnacentral:rRNA from 1 species
GGGGAACUGAAACAUCUCAGUACCCGCAGGAAAGGAAAUCAACCGAUACUCCGUCAGUAGCGGCGAGCGAACGCGGACCAGCCGAGCCCUGAGAGGUAGCAGAACCAGUUGGGAAACUGGGCGACAUGGGUGAUAGCCCCGUAUGCGAAAACUCGAUGGGCCACAUUAAGUAGGGCGGGACACGUGAAAUCCUGUCUGAAGAUCGGGGGACCACCCUCGAAGGCUAAGUACUCCUUGCUGACCGAUAGCGCACUAGUACCGUGAGGGAAAGGUGAAAA